AAAGGAGGCGUCCAAAGGGAUCGCAUUGAUCCCAUUUCAUUUGUGUUUCUAUAUUUCUUUCCAGAAAUAAUUAAAAUACUGAGUUUGGAUCAUGCUAUCCCUUUGGACUCAUCCUU
rfam:Nicotiana sylvestris Nsyl_contig147756, whole genome shotgun sequence.